GCCGCGUCACGUCCAGGUUUUCACCCACCCCAGUCCUCCUCCUCAGGGCCACUCCCAAUCCACUCCCCUGCAUUCACCCUGGAUCAUUUUGAGUAGCAACGACAAAUCUACUUCAUUUUUCCCAAUAUAUGCAUUUUUUCCCCCGAGGAACUAUGGUGGAAAAGCUGUUUGGAAUAGCAGCCUGAAAAAUGCCAACCUUUAGCUGUGCUUCAAUCCUCCAAAGCCUCUGCAAUCCAAAGCAGGAAGGAUGUUGCAAAAAACAAGGACAAGAACAAAGGCUGAUGAGGAUGAAGAUGAGGAGAAAAGCAACUCCUUUUUUAUCUCCAAAAUCUCCUAAUUUUGGAGAGAAACAAUUAUUUUACUUGUAAAUAACUUAUACAAGGGGGGCUAUGCAGAGGUAUGCUUUGACACAUCAGAAUUAGGUAAAAAGCCAAAAACCAGGAAGUUUCAGACCAAAUUUUUUGGAGGGUGAUGGAAGACAAGAUUUGAUGUGAAAAGAAAACACUCACACUGCCUCUGAUUUGACCCAUUUGUCUGUUAAGGCAACAUAAACUGGAUUUUAAGUAAAUUCUUGCUUUCUCAGGUUUGCUUUCCCCACCCCCCAGUUAGGAACCAGGCCAUCAUGUGAUGGGCAAAUAGGAAAUGAAAUUUCCCAGCUCCAGCAUCUGAAUCAUCCAAAUGAAUUAGAAUUGAAGGUGAUUUUG